rnacentral:tRNA from 1 species
ACCUGACUGGUUCAGUUGGUAGAGCCCACAACUCUUGAUCUUGGGGUCAUGAGUUCGAGCCCCAUGUUGGGUG